CGGUCCUCGUACGAUCACCGAAGUUAAGCAUCGUCGAGCCUGGUCAGUAGCUAGAUGGGUGACGGCUUGGGAAUACCAGGUGCUGUAAG